GCCAGUUUCUAGAUACUAACCUCUCUGAGGAUGUGGAACUUCGUUCCAGACAGAAAUAUGGAACAUAUCUAUUUUAAUUAUACUUCAAUCAAACUGUGUACCUCAUUGUGUGCUUAUGGCUUAUUCUUAUUUGAAGGCUUGGAUAUGAUGUUCUUCAUUCCUAAAUCAGCCAAGAAGAAUGUAACAAGAGAGGGCAUGGAGAAAGGGGAAACUGUGCAUCAUUCUGACUCUUUAAGGAGGAGAAAUACUCAGAGCAUUGGGUGUUAGCAUCUCUGGUAACGAUGCGGGCAUUUCAGUGUGGUGGCUGGCAGUGGUGAAGCUUCUACAAGCAAGUGUGUGUGGAGCAGGUUUGGACAAGUGGCAGAUGAGAUCGUGGUGGGAGAGCAAGGCAGCACAGUACAGGACUGCAGUUCAAAUCCACAGACAGGUGUGUGUGUGUGUGUGUGUGUGUGUGUGUGUGUGUGUGUGUGAGUCUUCCCUGAGAGCCCAGAAACCAGCACAACACACUGCGGAAGGAAGAGCUGUGCUCACCAUUGCAUAGGUCAGGGCUAUCAGACACAGAGUCAUUUGAGUACAAAGGAUUUGAGUAAAAGGUUCCAAGGGCCCAAGUGAAAUUGGAAACUAUAAAUCUGCCCCACCUGUCAGAGCUAUGUGAUUUUCUCUAGGAAAACACCGCAGCUCAGAAGAUGGAAAAUGUGAUUAGAGAGAUCCAGGUUGAGAGUGUGUUCAGAUGGAAGUGGAAGAAAGGCAGGAUCACAGGCAGAUUGAAGACAAGAAUGAUAGG
rnacentral:lncRNA from 1 species